CAGUUGCAAAACAUCCAGUAUACUGACUUUACUUCUGGUUACAGCCUUCAACAGUCCAGUUUUACAGAAGAUAUAUGAAGAGCAAAGAGCAAAUGAAGAAGGAUUCCUGCUUCUGUAAAGCUGAGCUUCAAGAUGGAGCUUCAGGCGGAUGUUAUGACCCAAAGGGCGUUUCUUCUACUUCAGUCUGUAGCUGAGGUUAUUUUUGAAUGAUGGCGGCUGAACUGAGCGUAUGUUCAAUCUACUCCUGCAGCAGAAAUCCAAUCCUCUGUGGAAUUCAGGAGCAGACUUUGUGCAGGAAGAAGUCUGUCUGACUGGUAAUAAAAGGACAUGUGAGUCUAAGGAAGGACUUUGCCAUCUAGAGACAGACUCCACUGAGGAAUAAACGAGGUUAAAAGGUAAGAUAAGUCACCAAAACAACAGCACUUUCUCAUCUCCCACCUGUUGUUUUCAUUGGAAGAAGCAC
ensembl:lncRNA